AUGAAAUUUAUAGAUUAGAAAUCCGGUGAUGGGGUGAUGUGGGAUAGUUUUGAUCAGUUGUCUGAAAAUUCAGGGGAUUGCAAGGAUCAGGAUGGUGAGAAGGGAAGAUUUGUUGUGGGAGCGAUUAAGAAUUACACAAACCAGCUCCUGGACUAUGGCAAAGACACUCAAUAUAACCUCACACAAGCUCUUCUGUUCCUCUCUCAUUUUAUGGAAGAUGUACAUCAGGUGAGCAUGAUAAAGCACGAAAAUCACCAUAUACUAAGCUAGCAUCUGACUUUCCAAUUUAGUUAUUGUAAUGGUUCUUUUGCAUGGUAAAUCUGCCGCCUCUACAUGUGGGAUUUACCUCUGACAAAGGAGGAAAUUUAAUUAACAUUCACCGGUAUAGAAGGAAGCAAAAUCUUCACCAUAUAAGUCUAAUUCUCAGGUUCAUUCACUACUACUGUAUGAUCUAUAUCACCAUCUACUCUACUCACCAAUUUUUUGCUACACAGGUUUGGGAUGUCAACAUAAUUGAAACAGUCGAAGAAAGAUUCUAUGACUUAGACAUAAAUAGCUUCACCAAAGCCAUUCAAGAGAAUAUAACUGUAUUUUAUCCCAAUGUAUGAUACUUCUUAUCAAAGAUUGAUGCUUACUCCAAAUUCUCUGAAACAGAAAACAUGGUCUGAUCAAGUACGCGGAUGGGAAACCUGCAAUUCUAAGGAAACUACUUGCCCAGAUCCAGAUAUGACACUGGGGAUAUUGGUAUUCAAAAAGGGCAAAUUUGUACAAUUGGGCAUUGGCACAUGCAAUAUAAUUAAACAAACUAAGAAAUAUCAGCAUAAAUCUAAGCAGGGAAGAACAACAACAUAUGAUGUUACAAUUGGAACUACCACUAAAGAUGGUCAGAUCUGGUAUCUCUCCCUAGACAAAGAUACAGGUACUAAAUGCAUGAUGACCUUGAAAUAUGCACUUUUUUCAACCUGCAUUGUAUACUACGAUUUGAUGAGAAGAAUUCGAACUGUUAGCAUCAAAUGUGCAAAUUUCUUCUUUUUCGAUCUGUUAUCCAACUCAGCUUGUGCAAGGUAUAUCAACACAAAAACCAGUCUAUUUGAAACUCAUGGCCAAGUAAUAGUUUUAGAUUUGAAAAUGCUUUAUGAAUAUUUAUAUUUGUUAGUGGUUGCUAUAAUAAGAUGGAAUGUUGAUGUUGUUGUGAUUGUGUAUAUUUCAUUUUGUGGUCAUUUUUAUAUUUGGGGUGUAAAUGAUCUAAACUGCAUCUGAAUAAAUUGUUAAACUAUUUAUAUUAUGUUUAGUGUAUCCCUAACUUUCUUUUAUUUCUGUAUAGUUUCCAUGUUUAUAGUUCCUUUUCUCAAUAUUUUUAUCAUGUUUUUCAGACAUAAUUAUUACAGCACAUCAUGAUUUGGAACACUGUCGUUGUUAUUGUUUGGUUGUAAAUUGACUUAGGAGAUGCUGUUUAUCCUUACUUUUGUUUAAUUAAAUCAUUGAAGCUUCUAAUGUCUAAGAUCCUGAUUCGGAUUAACUUU